AUUGAACGCUGGCGGCAUGCUUUACACAUGCAAGUCGAGCGGCAGCACGGGGGCAACCCUGGUGGCGAGCGGCGAACGGGUGAGUAAUACAUCGGAACAUGCCCAGUCGUGGGGGAUAACACUUCGAAAGAAGUGCUAAUACCGCAUACGUCCUGAGGGAGAAAGCGGGGGAUCUUCGGACCUUGCGCGAUUGGAGUGGCCGAUGUCAGAUUAGCUAGUUGGUGGGGUAAAGGCCUACCAAGGCAACGAUCUGUAGCUGGUCUGAGAGGAUGAUCAGCCACACUGGGACUGAGACACGGCCCAGACUCCUACGGGAGGCAGCAGUGGGGAAUUUUGGACAAUGGGGGCAACCCUGAUCCAGCCAUUCCGCGUGAGUGAAGAAGGCCUUCGGGUUGUAAAGCUCUUUCGGCAGGAACGAAACGGCGAGCUCUAACAUAGCUUGCUAAUGACGGUACCUGAAGAAGAAGCACCGGCUAACUACGUGCCAGCAGCCGCCGUAACAC
rnacentral:rRNA from 1 species